UACGUAGGGGGCAAGCGUUGUCCGGAAUCAUUGGGCGUAAAGCGCGUGUAGGCGGUCCGGUAAGUCCGCUGUGAAAGUCGGGGGGCUCAACCCUCGGAUGCCGGUGGAUACUGUCGGGCUUGAGUACGGAAGAGGCGAGUGGAAUUCCUGGUGUAGCGGUGAAAUGCGCAGAUAUCAAGGAGAACACCCAGUGGCGAAAGGCAGG
rnacentral:rRNA from 1 species